rnacentral:rRNA from 1 species
CAUGCAAGUCGAGCGGCAGGCGCAGCAAUGCGCUGAGAGCGGCGGACUGGUGAGUAACGCGUGGGUAAUCUACCUUUGGCAUGGGGAUAGCCACUAGAAAUAGUGGGUAAUACCGAAUACGUUCCCUGGGGGGAGGUUUCAGGGAAGAAAGGGUGCUACGGCACCGGCCAAAGAUGAGCUCGCGUCCCAUUAGCUAGUUGGUGAGGUAACGGCCCACCAAGGCGAUGAUGGGUAGCCGGCCUGAGAGGGUGUACGGCCACACUGGGACUGAGAUACGGCCCAGACUCCUACGGGAGGCAGCAGCUAAGAAUAUUCCGCAAUGGACGAAAGUCUGACGGAGCGACGCCGCGUGGAUGAUGAAGGCCGAAAGGUUGUAAAGUCCUUUUGCUGGGGAAGAAUAAGUGUGGGAGGGAAUGCCCGCAUGAUGACAUGAACCGGCGAAUAAGCCCCGGCCAACUACGUGCCAGCAGCCGCGGUAACACGUAGGGGGCGAGCGUUGUUCGGAAUUACUGGGCGUAAAGGGCAUGUAGGCGGUCUGGUAAGCCUGGCGUGAAAGGCCACAGCUCAACUGUGGGAUUGCGUUGGGAACUGCUGGGCUUGAGUUAUGGAGAGGGAGCUAGAAUUCCUGGUGUAGGGGUGA